UUUUAAUAUUAUUUUAUUACUUUAUAAGGAUAAUAAUAAUACUGAAAUGUUGAUAAACUUUCCUCACAACACAUUAAGACAGGUUCCUCUGCUGAAUAUUUCUUUGAAGGCCUGCUUCAAAUUUCAACCAAUACCAAAAAAACGGUAUGAUGUUAUAAUAUAAAUCUAGUAGGAAGCUGGUAUACUAAAUUUCGCAUAUUU
rnacentral:lncRNA from 1 species